rnacentral:lncRNA from 1 species
AAAGUGAGAGAGGGAGGCAGAAGAGGAAGUCAGAGCGAUGUGCUGUGAAAUCUACUACCGUUUGCUGGUUUUGAAAAUGGAGAAAAAGAGUGAGGAACUGAGAAACAUGGAUGGCCUUGGGAACGUGGAAAAGGGUCACUGAAAUGGGACGACAUGAACUCAAGGAGGCUAUUUAUGACCAUGUCAUUUGCAACAUGAAGAAAGCUUAUCUGGAGUGAAAGUAAAUGAGACCAACAGAGAUGAGAGACCCGGAGAAAUCCUGGUUACACUGCUUGAAUCCUGUCAGUCCUAUACUGGAGUCCUGUUAAUACAAAAUAAUAGUAAUAAUCCCUCUGUUUCUUAUGUUUAUGCCAACUUCAACAAAAAGAAACUUGACUAAGAGACAAUAUAAGAAUUUAAUGUGUAAUUAAGAAAGAACUCUCCACCACGGGGAAUGUGAAAGGUAUAUGAGUCCCUUUUCACGAUGCGAUGUCAUGUCUUUUAAAUAAGCCAUACUUUAUGUUCAAUAAAAAGAGAAUAAGCAG